rnacentral:piRNA from 1 species
UCCAGUUGUAAAAAUUGUGAGACAGCGA